GCUGCCAAGAGUCCCAUCAUCUAGCCUCCCACCUAAUCAAACUUUUAUUCAUUGAAAACACAAAGAAAAAGAAAAAAAACUCUCACGUCCCUUCCAGCCCAUGACCACAUUCCAUCUUCAAAUGAAAUUAAAUCUUCAAAGCAUUAAAUUUAACUUGCACUAAAUAAAAAAAAUAAAAGGCAACUCCCAUGAUUCCAGCGUUUGCACAAAAUCAAAGAAAUGGAAAAGUGUUUUAUCAUUCAACCAAUGCCA
rnacentral:lncRNA from 1 species